UACGAGGAGAGCAAGCGUUGUUCGGAUUUACUGGGCGUAAAGGGCGCGUAGGCGGUCGUGACAAGUCACUUGUGAAAUCUCCGGGCUUAACUCGGAACGGUCAAGUGAUACUGUCGGACUAGAGUACAGAAGGGGCAACUGGAAUUCUCGGUGUAGCGGUGAAAUGCGUAGAUAUCGAGAGGAACACCUGCGGCGAAGGCGGGUUGCUGGGCUGAUACUGACGCUGAUGCGCGAAAGCCAGGGGAGCGAACGGG
rnacentral:rRNA from 1 species